rnacentral:rRNA from 1 species
GACGUAGGGCGCGAGCGUUGUCCGGAUUUAUUGGGCGUAAAGAGCUCGUAGGCGGCUUGUCGCGUCGACUGUGAAAACUUGGGGCUCAACCCCAAGCUUGCAGUCGAUACGGGCAGGCUAGAGUUCGGUAGGGGAGAUUGGAAUUCCUGGUGUAGCGGUGGAAUGCGCAGAUAUCAGGAGGAACACCAAUGGCGAAGGCAGAUCUCUGGGCCGUAACUGACGCUGAGGAGCGAAAGCGUGGGGAGCGAACAGG